CCCAAAAAGUGGAAGAACUGGAGGAGGAACUCAUGACAUCCAAAAUGUCAUUGGCAAAGCUCCUCCUAUGUGAAAACAGGGUCGUCCAUGAGCCCCGGACCCAGUCAUUUAUUGUCUUAGGAUGGAUGGGUCAAAAAUAUUUGACAUCUGUACACCCAACAGAGCACUGCACGUGCAAUUCUUCUCCACAAUGCUGCCACAUUUUGGCAGUCCGGCUCUCUAUUGGGCUGGAAGCCAUAAAGAAUAAAACAGCCACAUUGAAGAAGGCAGAGAGAAAACGUUCUGGCCGUAAAGGCCCAACAAAAGAAACCACAAUCUCGCCUAUUUCAAGUGGAAAAUGUACAACUGUGCAUAAAGAAAUGUCUUCCCGUCAAUUUAUUUCACCCAAAGACCAGAUUGAGGAGUCAGAAACCAAUACCAAAUCACCAACUGUCACCGCUUCGAACCAACACAAAAGUGAUGCAAAGACAUUGGACAUAAUACCGAAUGACCAAUUUAUGGAGAGUUCUGAUGCAUCCUCUGUGCUUACAGUAGACACUCUGGCUAAGGUAAAA